GACGAACGCUGGCGGCGUGCCUAAUACAUGCAAGUCGAACGCACGAAGUUGAAGAGCUUGCUCUUUAACCAAGUGAGUGGCGGACGGGUGAGUAACACGUGGGUAACCUGCCCAUUAGAGGGGGAUAACAUUCGGAAACGGAUGCUAAUACCGCAUAGUUUCAGGRAUCGCAUGAUUCUUGAAGGAAAGGUGGCUUCGGCUACCACUAAUGGAUGGACCCGCGGCGUAUUAGCUAGUUGGUGAGGUAAUGGCUCACCAAGGCAAUGAUACGUAGCCGACCUGAGAGGGUGAUCGGCCACACUGGGACUGAGACACGGCCCAGACUCCUACGGGAGGCAGCAGUAGGGAAUCUUCCGCAAUGGACGAAAGUCUGACGGAGCAACGCCGCGUGAGUGAAGAAGGUUUUCGGAUCGUAAAACUCUGUUGUUAAAGAAGAACAAGGAUGAGAGUAACUGCUCAUCCCCUGACGGUAUUUAACCAGAAAGCCACGGCUAACUACGUGCCAGCAGCCGCGGUAAUACGUAGGUGGCAAGCGUUGUCCGGAUUUAUUGGGCGUAAAGCGAGCGCAGGCGGUUCUUUAAGUCUGAUGUGAAAGCCCCCGGCUCAACCGGGGAGGGUCAUUGGAAACUGGAGAACUUGAGUGCAGAAGAGGAGAGUGGAAUUCCACGUGUAGCGGUGAAAUGCGUAGAUAUGUGGAGGAACACCAGUGGCGAACGCGACUCUCUGGUCUGUAACUGACGCUGAGGCUCGAAAGCGUGGGGAGCAAACAGGAU
rnacentral:rRNA from 1 species